rnacentral:sRNA from 1 species
AGCGUAUAAAGGCGUGUAUUUUUGUGAGAAGUGGGUUAGAAUUUGCUUCGCUACAUUCUCUACUGGUCUUUGUAAGAUUUGCUCUUGUUAAUUUCCUUGUAAGAUUUGUAACAUUUUUUAAUUUUAAUUUUAAUUUUGAGGUAAUUAUCAUGGCAACAGGAACAGUUAAGUGGUUCAAUGAAUCUAAAGGCUUCGGCUUUAUCACUCCAGAAGAUGGCUCAAAAGAUGUAUUCGUACAUUUUUCAGCUAUCUCAAGCGAAGGUUUUCGCACAUUAAACGAAGGUCAACAAGUGAACUUCGACGUAGAAAACGGACCUAAAGGGCCGCAAGCGAUUAACGUAACAGCUUAAGUUCUACAAGACGAUGAAAAAACCCUCGCAUUUGCGGGGUUUUUUUUG